UCCAGCAGAACGUCAACUAAAUAUUUUAAUUGCGUUUGAAAUAUGUGGCCGCGCUACUGGCGUAAACGUUCGAAUCCUUGGAACUCGGUCCAAAAUAAUUCAAAAAUCAAAAACGAAACGGUGUUGUCUAAUUCCGGACCGACCUUGGAACGGCAAAGUGCAAUGGAACAUCUGCUAUUGCGGUGCAGAACUUCUACCUCCGGUGUUGUUGACAUGAUGACGAGCAACGGGGGAAAAAUACGUUUGUUUGGACAAGUGAAACAGGUACUAAUGAUCUUCCUCAAAGGCACCAAUUACUAAACUGGCUAAAAACUUUGUUAGCUGAUUAAUUGGGGAACUGAUAAAGCUUACGGAUCUCAAUGUGACACCUUCCUUAUGAAUUUUUGAUUCUUGAGAAUGACAUCAUAGAAAUCGAAACGUCGACCAAUAUAUAUAAAUAAAUCAUCUGAAGUAUUUUUUUUUAACCUAUAUCCAACAAAAAAAUUAAGUAUUUUUUCCUACUUCAUUUUAUAUAACAAAGAACAAUGUAAACAAAAAUUAUGUGAAAAUUUUUUUCUCAAAUAUCUUUUAUCAAAAUACAAUGAAUGAUAAAUUAAACUUAUAUGAUGAA